CACUUCCACCCGCACGCCCCACCCCACCUUCCCACACCCCCCCCUACCACCCGACCCUUCGGUGGCAGAUCUCUGCCAGUCCAGUGCCUUAAUGAAACUACCUGGGACCCCCGGCAGCCUGCCUGAUUUCCAUUGUUACAGAGCAGUCUUUCCUUCAUUUUCCAAAUGAAUCUCACAUUUUUUUAAAUCUGUUUUGAAAUGAGGAACUAUUCCGUGCCCACAUGUAGGAACUAAUCUACUGCACCGUGGUAGCAUGGGAAAACUUCCACCUACAGCACCGUUACCGUGGCAACAUGGGAACACUUCCACCUACUGCACCGUUACCGUGACAACAUGGGAACAUUUCCACCUACAGCACCGUUACCGUGGCAACAUGGGAACACUUCCGCCUAGUACACCGUUACCACGGCAACAUGGGAACACUUCCACCUACUGCACCAUUACCGCGGCAACAUGGGAACACUUCUGCCUAUGGCACCGUUACCACGGCAACGUGGGAGCACUUCCAUCAGCCUCCAUGGACUGACUGGGACAGGCGAGCUGCCAGCAGUUCUGUUUUUUACUCUUUUUCCAUUUCCUUUUGAUAUUUUUUUAUUAAAGACUGAACAGUAUGUGUGACAAUCUGUGCUAAUCUCUGUUUUUACUAUAUUCCUGAGGUCCUCAUUCAUAUUCUCAGGGGGGAGUCAGGCCUGUGAGGUCUGUGCCUCAGUGUGGUGGGGGGCAGACCUACCAGGUGACAAGACCUUAACGUCAUUUAGAAUUCGCCAGAUGUAAAUUAGCUGAUGUGCUCUUGCCUGGAGGGCCUCUUGCACCUCAUGAGGAAAGUCUCUGUGUGGCGUUCCAUCCGGCAGGAACCGCACAGCCUGCUGUGGGAGGGGAGAGGAACUGCAGCUGCUCUCUUACAGGGAACAGCCCUUACUUCCCUAGAGCUCUAAUGGGGAAUAGCCCUUACUUCCCUAGAGCUCUAAUGGGGAACAGCCCUUACUUCCCUAGAGCUCUAAUGGGGAAUAGCCCUUACUUCCCUAGAGCUCUAAUGGGGAAUAGCCCUUACUUCCCUAGAGCUCUAAUGGGGAAUAGCCCUCACUUCCCUAGAGCUCUAAUGGGGAACAGCCCUUACUUCCCUAGAGCUCUAAUGGGGAAUAGCCCUCACUUCCCUAGAGCUCUAAUGGGGAACAGCCCUUACUUCCCUAGAGCUCUAAUGGGGAACAGCCCUCACUUCCCUAGAGCUCUAAUGGGGAAUAGCCCUCACUUCCCUAGAGCUCUAAUGGGGAACAGCCCUUACUUCCCUGCACUGCAUUGGCCCGCCCAUCAAUCUCACCUUAUCCGUAUGGACCAGGGCUGCCCAACCCCCUGCCUGCAGAUCUACUGUCCUGUAGGUAAACAGACCAGUGCUGCCCAACCCCCUGCCUGCAGAUCUACUGUCCUGUAGGUAAAACAGGGCUGCCCAACCCUCUUCCUGCAUAUCUACUGUUCUGUAGGUAAAACAGGGCUGUCCAACCCCCUGCCUGCAGAUCUACUGUCCUGUAGGU